GGAUAAUUUGUUUCUCUAAUUUAUGAAGAUUACUUCGUUUUAGUAGUGUUGUUCACACUUCACAACUCGCAAUGUAUAGUUGAAAGCUGAACCAAUAAUGUCUUAGUCCACAGCCAAAGAAAGAAGAAAGAAGAAAGAAGAUAGACUUGGACUUUACUUUGCUUAGUGCUUCCACCGCUGAUCGUCACUUUCGCUUUAAAGAAAGCAUGCUCCUUCUUCAGAGUUAUGCACAGGAGUUGAACGAGCAAAGAAUACUUGGUCUGGUGGGAUCAUCUUCAUUUUUGCAACUAGUCAACUACCAUUGAUUCAACUAUGAUUGUCCCUUUCCGUUCUUGAGAUUCAAAACCCAAAUAAUUGGUUGGUUAAGGAAGAAAGGUAAGGACAAACCUGCUCCACCAAGACCCGACCAAAUUUGGGCUGCAAGCUAAGUCUUAAUGUGGGAAUCUCCCCUUCUGAUUUGGAGAAUAAGCGACUUGGGAGUUCCCAACAUGACUUAGCUCCCAAGUUAGUAACUGCCUACAUCUCUAGUCAAGAGCUUUAAAAAGGUGAUUACGAACACACUAAGUCCCUAAGAUCCAACUUCUAACCUUCCUAUAAUGUGACCGAUGGCAAGUAUGAAUCUUUCAACCUCAUAACUCCUCUGCUGAUUCCUUUAUUAACUUGUAGGAUCCCCUGCUCUGUUAGGGUAACGACGUGGAACAUUCCUAAAAUUUUUUAGAUUUUCAAAGUCCGUAUCCAGAACAUUCGCAUAAAAGUCUCAUACACUCCUAUCAUAACACUAGUGACAAUGCUAGGGACCCAGAGCUCAUCCACAUAUGACAAGCAAACACUACUUUCAUCAAGAUGGGCGUGCUUCCCUUAACGUGAAGUCACACACAACAAAGCAGGAAUACCAAAUCUAACUAUUCUGGAUAAUAAUGAAUAGUGAGAAUCCGACCACAUGGAAUCAUAUAUUACCAACGUUUUGUGAAGAAUAUGGGUAACGUAAAUACAAAACUAACUCUGGGUCGGUAAAACGACGAACAAGCAAGACAAAUGUAAUUGGGUAAGACAAGACACAUUGUCACCACCAAAUAUAUACUACUGACUUAAAUUUCAAAGUGUCUUUGUAAGAUGUCCUCCCGGCUUGGUCUAAACAACUCACAUUGAAAUCUCGGAUUUUCAUAAGUACGUCUCAACAGUCAAGUACGAACAUUGAUGUUGUCUGUAGGGAUCUUGAAUUUGUUUCAUACCAUAGCUGAACACAAGAUUCAAUCAACCAUUGAUCAAAACACUCCACUCAAAGAAACACAUCUUGAGGAUGUUCACGAGACUAACCCCAAUUCUAUUGAUGAACACCAAGUGCCUCCAGGGUUCGAGCAUAAUACUGGAGAUCGUCGAAUCGUUGGCUUGGGACCACAGAAUUAUGACCAAGCAAUGCAAGAGACGCGUCACAAGAUGCGAGAAAUGUAGGAAAUGCAACAUAAAAUGAAGGAACUAGAGCACAAUCUGGAAGAACGCUCACAAUCCCAAAGAACUCGAUCUUGUAGCCGCACGGAUAGAGAUCAGCUGGAUAAACGGGAAAGGUUGACUCCGGAGAACUUGGAGGAUCCCUCGUCAUGAGGAGGCUUAUCAUGACCAUAAAAGAUGAGGAAAGUCCAACUCCCAAUUUGCCCAAUCUAAAAGGAAACGAACUCCAAACAAGAGCCCAAGCCCUAGGCGGUAUAAGGAUUCUACGGAGCACGUAAUCAUGGGGCAGACCUCAUUUGCCUCACACGCUUUACAAGUCAGACUGCCCAAACACUUUGAUAAACCAACGGAUAUCAAGUAUGAAGAAAAGUUUUAUCCUUAGGAGUACAUAGAUGCUUUCGAAGCACGAAUGAACCUGGAAGGGGUAGGGGAUACUAUAAGAUCCAAAGUGUUUCCAGUCAUGCUUUCUGGGCCAGCCUUUGCCAUCUGGUUCUAUCUCCUCAAUUCACGACAUCAAGAUCAAGUUUCUUGCUCACUUCACAAUUAGGCAAACUCAAGCUAAGCACUCAAUCUUCUUACUUGGAAUAGAAUAAGGACUGGAGAGAACAUAUGAGAUUAUCUAGAUAGUUUCAACAAAGCACUUUUGGAGGUUAAUACCCGAACUCCUGAGGUUGUUUGCCUUUGUCUCAUAGCAGGAUUGUCGAAGGAGACUUCAGAAGGCACCUCACCUCAAAAGAUGUGAAGUUUAUGGAAGAAAUCCACCAAAUCGCUCUAGAAUACAUGAGGGAUGAAGAUGUUUCGAAGGUAGUCUCGACAAAACGGAAAAACCCAGCUCCCUCGCCUAAUAAGGCCAGAAGCUCGGGACAAAAUGCCCUGGGAGCAACAGUUCCUCGUGUGGGAAAGUUCUCGACAUAUAUACUAUAGUGGUGUCACUGGCAGAAGUUCAUCAACAAGUUUCACACUGAGGCAUAUUAUCCAAAGCUAGGCGGAUACGAUCAAGGGCUUCUUUGAAUAAAUCAUAAUAUUGUGAUUACCAUAAAUCCUAUGGUUAUAGGACGAAAGAUUGCAUAGACUUAAAGGAUGCUUUGAAAUAGGCCAUCCAAGAUGAAGCUUUCAGAAAUCAUUCAACACGUUAGGCUACCCCAACGGCAAAACAUUGACAAAGACCGAGAAAUAAGGAACCCCAGAAAGCAUAAAACCAGUGAGAACUAGGAUGCCACUGCACAAGUGGUAGUAAAUGUCGUUUUGGAAAAAAAUGGUUCAACAAAAACCAAAAACGCAGUUAAGAAUGAUGCCAAAUCCAGAAGUUCCGAAGUCUUGAAGAUACAAAGUUUUUCAAUUGUCCAAUUUACUACUGAGGAUUUCCAAUAUACCACUUUGGAAGAUGAUGAGCCCUUGGUAAUCACGGCUAGGCUAGGAAACGGGAUUGUGAAGAGAAUCCUGAUAGACACUGGAGCAGAUUUAAACUUGUUGUUCAGGAACGCAUUUAACGCCUUAGGGCUUAAGGAUCAACAUCUCAAACCAUACCUACCUCGGGUAGUGGGUUUGGGCAUUACUAUAUUAAGAAUGACAGAGUUAUCAACCUCUUCUUUACGAUAGGGGAGGGACUGGAAGCUCGGGUUGUGCAAGCAGAGUUUAUCAUUUUGAAAGACUCAACGGAUUACAAUGUUAUCCUCAAACAGAAAAUGCUUAAACAAUCUCUGUGCUUUCAUUUCAACCAAAUUUUCUAUUAUGAAGUAUAUGUCGGCAAAAGGUCGUGUAGCCACAAUUCGAGGAGAUCGAGUGGCCGCCAUCAAAUGCAACACUGUAAAUUUGAACCUAAUGGAUAAAGCAAAGGAAUCUACAAGAGUAUUCUUUGUGGACUUGAUUCAUGAGUUCAGGAAAAGCCGAGGCCCAAACCUGAUGGCAAUUCGGAAAAUUUUCAAAUUAGGCAUGAAGCUGAAAAUAUACAUUCAUCAACAAAGACUUGCAUUACCCCUUGAAGUCGGAACUUCAAGAUUUCUAAAAGGUAACGUCAACUUAUUUACUUGGAAACCAUCCGAUAUGCCUGGAAUUGAUCCCACGUUCAUGUCCCAUCAACUUGCUAUGGAUCCCUCGUAUAAAUUGGUUGCACAACGACAUCGUAAGAUGUCCCAAGAUCGGUUUAACAAGGUCAAGAGAUAAGUACAAGGGUUGUUGAACGCUGGUUUUAUUAGAGAGCUCACGUAUUCAACUUGGUUAUCCAAUGUUGUAAUGGGAAAAAAGUCUAAUAAAAAAUGACAAAAGUGUGUGAAUUACACUGAUUUGAAUAAAACUUGUCCAAAAGACUGUUUUUCUUUACCUAACAUUGGUAAUAUGAUCGACUCUUCAUCAGGAUAUUGACUUCUAAGUUUUUUAGAUGCAUAUAGUGAUUAUAACCGAAUCCCGAUACACCAACCUGAUGAAGAUAAGACUGCUUUCAUCACUCUAGAAAGAAUUUAUUGUCAUACUAUAAUGUCUUUUGGUUUAAAAAAUGCAGGGACUACUUAUCAAAGAUUAAUGGCCAAGGUGUUUAAAUAGCAGAUAAGGAGAAACAUGGAACUCUACAUUGACAACAUGUUUAUAAAAACUAGAUUGGAUGAUGACCUUGUAGCUAAUUUAUGAGAAACUUUUGAUAACCUCCGACUUAAUAACAUGAGGUUGAAUCCGAAAAGUUUGCAUUUUGGAGUCUGGGGAGAAAAAUUUCUUGGAUUCAUGGUCACUCAGAAUGGUAUUUAAGCUAAUCCAAAAACGUGUAAAGUCAGAUUAAACAUGUCAAACCCUCGGAAUAUUAAGGAGGUGCAAAGGUUGACAAGUCGGGUCGCCACCUUGUCAAGAUUUCUUGGAUCCUCUACUGAAAAAGCAAAAUCUUUCUUUAAAUUAAUUAAGAAAGGAGUAGCUUUUGAAUGGACGAGAGAGUGUGAAAAAUCUUUCACACACUUUAAAACUUUAUUAUCUUUUCCUCUUGUCCUCGCAAAGCUGGAGCUCAGGAAGUUGUUAUACCUAUAUUUAUUUGUCACUGAUGAAUCCAUAACUUCAGCACAAUGACAUGUGUAUUUUAUUGGUAGGGUCCUUCAAGGUCCCUAAGUGAAAUACUCAAAGUUAGAAAAGCUUUCUUUUGCAGUACUAAUAAUGUUGGCACGUCAUCCAUGAUAAUAUUUCCAAAGUUACUUGAUAAUUGUACGAACCGACCAGCUGACUAAAAAAGUUUUGCAAAAGCCAGAUUUGGCAGGUUGAAUGAUGAGCUGGUCAAUAGAAUUGUCACAAUUUAACAUAAGAUAUGAACCAUGCUCAGCCAUUAAGGCACAAGCAGUGGUGAACUUUUUGGCCAAAAUGACUUAUUCUUCUCCAAGUCACUAGUUUGGGAACUUCACGUUGAUGGAGCAUCCCAAACAAGGCAUGGGGUGCAUGUGUCAUCUUGACUAAAGAGGAAUAUCUGGUCAUCGAAACUUCUAUGAAGUUUGAUUUUCCGAUCUUAGACAAUCAGGCUGAGUAUGAGGCUUUGAUUGUAGGAUUGUCAUUGGCAACUGAAGUUGGUGCAACAACGCUAAUUGUGUACAGUGAUUUCCAGAUUAUAACAUCUCAAGUUAAUGGCGAGUAUCGGACGCGGGAUCCGUUGUUGCAAUUAUAUUUAAAAAAGGUGAUGAAACAAGGAAGCAUGGAAGCAAGAAUGAUGCAAGCUGGGCAAGAAGAAGUUGGCGUUGCCAACUUGGAGAUAAUGGGCGUUGUUCAUGGCAACGCCAGGCAGCCUUGCAAGAAGAAGUGGCGUUGCCAACUUGGAAGAGGGCUGCGUUAUUGAGGACAACGCCAGGCAACCAAGAAGCAAAGUUGGCGUUGCCAACUUGAGGAAAAGAGUGCGUGUUUGUAGGCAACGCCCAGGCAAGCAAAGAGCUGAGCCAAGGAGAGCUCGAGGGCGUUGCCAACGUGGGAAUGAAAAGGCGUUAUUCAAGGCAACGCACACAAGCAAACUUGGCCCAAGAGAAGGAGGAGCUGGCGUUGCCAACUCAAGAUGGGCGUUGCCAACGCCCUCGACACUCCUUCAUGGCUCAAGUUCCUUUCUUGUGGCAAAGGAAGUUUUUCUAUAAUUUCUACUUUUGCCUUAUCAACCUCUAUACCUUUUCUUGAAAUUUUAUGACCAAGAACAAUGCCUUCGGGUACCAUGAAAUGGCAUUUCUCCCAAUUCAGAACUAAGUUUGUUUCUUGGCAUCUUUUCAAGACUAAGGUAAGAUGGUGCAAGCAAGUAUUGAAGGAAUCACCAAAAACAGAGAAAUCAUCCAUAAAGACUUCAAUGAAUUUUUCUACCAUGUCUGAGAAGAUUGAUAGCAUGCACCUUUGAAAGGUAGCUGGGGCAUUACAUAGUCCAAAUGGCAUUCUCCUAUAUGCAAAGACUCCAAAGGGACAAGUAAAUGACGUCUUCUCUUGAUCCAUGGGGUCAA